rnacentral:rRNA from 1 species
UACGAAGGGGGCUAGCGUUGCUCGGAAUUACUGGGCGUAAAGCGUGCGCAGGCGGUGAUGUAAGACAGAUGUGAAAUCCCCGGGCUCAACCUGGGAACUGCAUUUGUGACUGCAUCGCUGGAGUGCGGCAGAGGGGGAUGGAAUUCCGCGUGUAGCAGUGAAAUGCGUAGAUAUGCGGAGGAACACCGAUGGCGAAGGCAAUCCCCUGGGCCUGCACUGACGCUCAUGCACGAAAGGCGUGGGGAGCAAACAGG